rnacentral:rRNA from 1 species
AAACCAACUGGGAUUACCUUAGUAACGGCGAGUGAAGCGGUAAAAGCUCAAAUUUGAAAUCUGGUACUUUCAGUGCCCGAGUUGUAAUUUGUAGAAUUUGUCUUUGAUUAGGUCCUUGUCUAUGUUCCUUGGAACAGGACGUCAUAGAGGGUGAGAAUCCCGUUUGGCGAGGAUACCUUUUCUCUGUAAGACUUUUUCGAAGAGUCGAGUUGUUUGGGAAUGCAGCUCAAAGUGGGUGGUAAAUUCCAUCUAAAGCUAAAUAUUGGCGAGAGACCGAUAGCGAACAAGUACAGUGAUGGAAAGAUGAAAAGAACUUUGAAAAGAGAGUGAAAAAGUACGUGAAAUUGUUGAAAGGGAAGGGCAUUUGAUCAGACAUGGUGUUUUUGCAUGCACUCGCCUCUCGUGGGCUUGGGCCUCUCAAAAAUUUCACUGGGCCAACAUCAAUUCUGGCAGCAGGAUAAAUCAUUAAGAAUGUAGCUACUUCGGUAGUGUUAUAGCUUUUUGUAAUACUGUUAGCCGGGUA